rnacentral:lncRNA from 1 species
CUGUUUUCAUCCAAAUAAAACAAGAAAAAAAUGAACACUGUUUGUUAUCAGGGAAAAGAAGAAAAGAAUAAAAAAAAAAUGAAGCAAAAAAGGUCUUAAGACAUUGUUUGGAAAGACCACCUGAUCGUCACUGAUUUCUACUGCAAACCCAUCAACAAUGACCAGAGAUGAUGUCUUCUUGUAGCUGCCAGGCUCAAGGACGCUGGCCAGCAGCUGAUCAUGCUUCCUACUGAGAUACAAAUCAAGCUCAUGUGCUCCUCUCUUUGUUCUACAAAACAAACAGUUACAUUUCAAGAAAAGAGAAUAGCAUUACACAUUCACUAACAACAUGGUAUAUCAAACAUAAAGAUACGGCAAACAGCACCCACCGAUCAGCUCUAAGGCGCUCAUAUUCAGGAUCGAAGUUCAUGAAAACAAAGUAUAACUCAGUGUUUGAGCUUCCCAUCACUGAUCCUUUCUUUCUUUUUAUUUUUCUUUUCUUCUUUUUUUCUUCUCC